AUUGAACGCUGGCGGAAUGCUUUACACAUGCAAGUCGAACGGCAGCACGGACUUCGGUCUGGUGGCGAGUGGCGAACGGGUGAGUAAUGUAUCGGAACGUGCCCAGUCGCGGGGGAUAACGUAGUGAAAAUUACGCUAAUACCGCAUACGAACUAGGGAUGAAAGCGUGGGAUCGCAAGACCUCGCGCGGUUGGAGCGGCCGAUAUCAGAUUAGGUAGUUGGUGGGGUAAAGGCCCGCCAAGCCAACGAGCCGUAGCUGGUCUGAGAGGACGACCAGCCACACUGGAACUGAGACACGGUCCAAACUCCUACGGGAGGCAGCAGUAGGGAAUUUUGGACAAUGGGCGAAAGCCUGAUCCAGCCAUUCCGCGUGCAGGAUGAAGGCCCUCGUGUUGUAAACUGCUUUUGUACAGAACGAAAAGCUUUCUACUAGUACUAGGAGCUCAUGACGGUACUGUAAGAAUAAGCACUGGCUAACUACGUGCCAGCCGCCGCGGUAA
rnacentral:rRNA from 1 species